rnacentral:rRNA from 1 species
UGGGGAAUAUUGGACAAUGGGCGAAAGCCUGAUCCAGCCAUGCCGCGUGUGUGAAGAAGGUCUUCGGAUUGUAAAGCACUUUACGUUGGGAGGAAGGGCAGUAAGCGAAUACCUUGCUGUUUUGACGUUACCGACAGAAUAAGCACCGGCUAACUCUGUGCCAGCAGCCGCGGUAAUACAGAGGGUGCAAGCGUUAAUCGGAAUUACUGGGCGUAAAGCGCGCGUAGGUGGUUCGUUAAGUUGAAUGUGAAAGCCCCGGGCUCAACCUGGUAACUGCAUCCAAAACUGGCGAGCUAGAGUAGGGCAGAGGGUGGUGGAAUUUCCUGUGUAGCGGUGAAAUGCGUAGAUAUAGGAAGGAGCACCAGUGGCGAAGGCGACCACCUGGGCUCAUACUGACACUGAGGUGCGAAAGCGUGGGGAGCAAACAGG